rnacentral:rRNA from 1 species
GACGAACGCUGGCGGCGUGCCUAAUACAUGCAAGUUGAGCGAUGAAGAUUGGUGCUUGCACCAAUUUGAAGAGCAGCGAACGGGUGAGUAACGCGUGGGGAAUCUGCCUUUGAGCGGGGGACAACAUUUGGAAACGAAUGCUAAUACCGCAUAACAACUUUAAACAUAAGUUUUAAGUUUGAAAGAUGCAAUUGCAUCACUCAAAGAUGAUCCCGCGUUGUAUUAGCUAGUUGGUGAGGUAAAGGCUCACCAAGGCGAUGAUACAUAGCCGACCUGAGAGGGUGAUCGGCCACAUUGGGACUGAGACACGGCCCAAACUCCUACGGGAGGCAGCAGUAGGGAAUCUUCGGCAAUGGACGAAAGUCUGACCGAGCAACGCCGCGUGAGUGAAGAAGGGUUUCGGAUCGUAAAACUCUGUUGGUAGAGAAGAACGUUGGUGAGAGUGGAAAGCUCAUCAAGUGACGGUAACUACCCAGAAAGUGACGGCUAACUACGUG